rnacentral:rRNA from 1 species
GAUGAACGCUGGCGGCGUGCCUAAUACAUGCAAGUCGAGCGAACGGACGAGAGGCUUGCUUUUCUGAUGUUAGCGGCGGACGGGUGAGUAACACGUGGAUAACCUACCUAUAAGACUGGGAUAACUUCGGGAAACCGGAGCUAAUACCGGAUAAUAUUUUGAACCGCAUGGUUCAAAAGUGAAAGACGGUCUUGCUGUCACUUAUAGAUGGAUCCGCGCUGCAUUAGCUAGUUGGUAAGGUAACGGCUUACCAAGGCAACGAUGCAUAGCCGACCUGAGAGGGUGAUCGGCCACACGGGAACUGAGACACGGUCCAGACUCCUACGGGAGGCAGCAGUAGGGAAUCUUCCGCAAUGGGCGAAAGCCUGACGGAGCAACGCCGCGUGAGUGAUGAAGGUCUUCGGAUCGUAAAACUCUGUUAUUAGGGAAGAACAUAUGUGUAAGUAACUGUGCACAUCUUGACGGUACCUAAUCAGAAAGCCACGGCUAACUACGUG